CGUCAGCGCGUCUGUGUGUUCAGCAUGGCGCUGCGCGGCGGGGCGUGUGUUUUGCUGCAAUCACCGGUGGAUCUCGGGCUGAAGAAUCAUGCGAAAGCGCUGCGGUCAUCAGGUUUGCAUUUGCCUUCUUUCUUUCCAUCCAUCCAUCCAUCCAUCAAUCCCUCCCUCCUGUCUGUCCUAACCAUCUCUGCUCUGGGUCACUGGUCCCCUCCUCUGGGUCCGAUGCCAAAUGAAGACAUUGAUUUGACGCCGCUGGACUCUCUAGAAAAAUAUCGCAGUUAGACUCGCUAUGUAAGAGCAGCUGAGGAGGCUGACAGGAAAGAAGUGUGGUGGAAGACCUACAGGAAAUACAGAGAAGAGGAGAAACAUGGAGCUGUUACCAGUACCAGCAGACCUCCAGAAAGACAAAGGUGAAGGAGAGGAGGAAAGUGAUGGAGAACAAGAAGAACCCCGAGCUUGACUGUGGAACUGAGUGAUGCGCAGCUGAAUUUAAAGGAAUAGUUCGCCAAAACGUCAUAAUUUACUUACCCUCAUAUUGUUUCAAAUCCGCAUGACUUGCCUUCUUACGUAAGGAGAUGUUUUGAAUAAUAUAGUUGUUUGAUCUUUUUCAUUUUAAUUAUAAUGAAUGGUGACUGGAGCUUUCAAACUUGCAAAAGUAUCAUUAAAGUAGUCAAUUAUCAUUUACUCAUCCUCAUGCCAUCACAGAUGUGUGACAUUUUUCUUUUUUUUUUCUUUCUGCACAACACAAACAAAGAUUUUUAGAAGAACAUCUCAGCU